rnacentral:lncRNA from 1 species
AUGCCCGCCCCCGCCGCGCCCCGCAGCCUGGCCGCCNNNNNNNNNNNNNNNNNNNNNNNNNNNNNNNNNNNNNNNNNNNNNNNNNNNNNNNNNNNNNNNNNNAAGGGGGGGGGGGGGGGUCCCCGGUGGCCGCAGGUGGAAGAAAAAGGGCGGUGGGAAGAGGCCGGGGGCGUGCCCGCCGCCGCCGGUGCCAGCGUGGGCAUCCGCGCCCCGCCGCGGGGCCGGGGCAGCGCCCGGAGGUGCGGGGCCGGGGGCAGCCCCCGGGAGCCUCCCCCCGCGCCUUUCCCGGGGGCUCGCACGCCGCCGGAGCCGCCCUCCCGGUGUCUGGGUGCCCCCGGCGCUGAUCCCCGUUCUCCUGCCCUUCCCCGGGGGUCCGGGCGGGCUCGGUGCGCGGCGGGAGCCAAGGCGCUGCCUCCCGCUGGGGCCGGUCCCAGCCCGGCGCCGGACGGAGCCCGAGGCGGCGGCAGGCUGGGUGUGCUGCCUGCGGGCUGCUCCGCGGCUCCCUCCUUCCCCUGCCGGGCGUCUUCUUGCGGGACGGUGCCCAGAGCGCAGGCGAGCGCCUUCUCUCUGAAACGAGCCAUCGCAGCCUUCGCCCGAUCCGCAGGCGUAAUGCUUUUGUGUUUUCCAGCCGAGUCCCCCCCUCCUGCGAUCGUGCCUUUGUUCCUCUGCCCAACUGUCAGCUCCCCGCCGAGGCCGAGCCCUGGCCUCCCCCAGCAGAGGCUUGGCCGGGGAGGCUGUGGCUGCCCUCACGGCUGGGUGCCGGGAGCCCAGCCCUGGCCGCUCCCCUCCUGCUGCCCCCUGCCCCAAGUGGAUGCGUGCAAAGGGUGCCGGAGCCUCCCCGGGUCACAUCCUGCCCGGCUGGAGGACUGGGGUGCAACCGUGGCCAAGGGAGCCUCAUCCAGCAAAAAUCCCGGUGAGGGUACAAGCUGCCUGCUUGGGCUCCGGAUCUGUACUACCACCCCCCUUGGAGAGUUAGCUCAGCCUUGCUCUUACACCUUUUAUUUAGAGGCCUUUAAAAUAGGGUUUAACCCAAGUUUAGGAUGGGGAAGGACAGGCUGCUUGCUCCCACCCAAAAACCCCAGUCUUUCCCAGCUUGCUGCCCACGCACAGUGUGUCGGGUUACUGCUGCCUGGACCCAUGCGUCAGGAGGCUUCCACAGCUCCUGUGUGGGUCCCUAAUCGGGGAUCAUCAGCUGUAGGUGGCUUAGUGGUGUGCGCUGGAGGAGGCUGCAGCGGGCCUGCCCUUCCCUUCCUGGCCAGGACGCCUGGAAGCUGUUCUGCUCUGAACCAAGGGGCCCAGGGGCUCGGCCAGGCGCUGGGCUGUGCAGCCCAGCACAACGCUGCACAUGCCUGCACUCGGAGGAGCCCUCAUGGGUCCACGUGA